UACCUGUCUGACGAAGCUGGUGGUGGUGGUGUCAGAGGAGCUGCUCCCGUCCGAACCCUUACACCUCCCUCUCCUGUGACCCCCGCGAACCUGCGGCUUCACAGAAAGAAGAACAACACCGUUGGGCACUUGGUUGAAGGAGAGCUGGUGUUCGUACAGGGCCAGGAGGAGCAGGCAGCCCCAGCCCAACAGGAGUCCUGCGUUCUGCAUGAGGAACUGGAGCCCUGGGCGCUCGCUCCUUGCCCGGUUCAUCUCAGGAAGCUGGGGAGGAGAUCCAAAAUGGCGGCUGCUGCUCACCAUCUCCACCAGCGAGAGGUAGAGGAAGAUGCCGGCGGUGACGCUGAAGAUCCAAUGCUGCACCGUGGUCUCCGUGGAGACGAACAGGCCGAUGUAGAGGCCCAGGAAGGCA